AGUGGCGAAGGCGGGGUCGGCGCUGCCGGGUGAAACCGUAGGACAGUGAAGAUGCUGCUGGAAUUGUCCGAGGAGCAUAAGGAACACCUGGCCUUCCUGCCUCAAGUGGACAGCUCGGUGGUCGCCGAGUUUGGGCGGAUUGCUGUGGAAUUCCUGAGACGCGGCGCAAACCCAAAAAUCUACGAAGGCGCCGCCAGAAAACUCAAUGUGAGUAGUGACACUGUCCAGCAUGGUGUGGAAGGAUUAACGUAUCUCCUCACUGAGAGCUCAAAGCUCAUGAUUUCUGAACUGGAUUUCCAAGACUCUGUUUUUGUUCUGGGAUUCUCUGAAGAAUUAAACAAAUUGUUGCUUCAGCUUUAUCUGGACAACAGAAAAGAGAUCAGAAUGAUUCUGAGUGAAUUGGCACCAAGCCUUCCCAGCUAUCAUAACCUUGAAUGGCGACUAGAUGUACAGGUAUAGCAUUUUUAAAAUUAACUUAACAUAGAAUAUAAGAAUUAUUUUAGGUUUGUGUCCUGUUUAUUGUGUUUUUUACCACCUUAACUAAGAUCUGGUUUGAAACUUUGUUUUUUUAACGUUCAUUUUUAAGCCAUUUCACAAAUAGUUCAUUUUCUUUUAUUUUCAGUGUU
rnacentral:sRNA from 1 species